GGGGAACGUCACAGGUAGCGGUGAGAGCGACACUGGGGAAUAUCACAGGUAGCGGUGAGAGGGACACUGGGGAAUAUCACAAGUAGUAGUGAGAGGGACACUGGGGAAUAUCACAAGUAGUAGUGAGAGGGACACUGGGGAAUAUCACAGGUAGUGGUGAGAGGGACACUGGGGAAUAUCACAGGUAGUAGUUAGAAGGACACUGGGGAAUAUCACAGGUAGUAGUUAGAGGGACACUGGGGAAUAUCACAGGUAGUGGUGAGAGGGACACUGGGGAAUAUCACAGGUAGUGGUGAGAGGGACACUGAGGAAUAUCACAGGUAGUGGUGAGAAGGACACCGGGGAAUAUCACAGGUGGUGGUGAGAAGGACACUGGGGAAGACAGCAGGUAGUGGUGAGAGGGACACUAGGG